rnacentral:tRNA from 26 species
GCGGGCUUAGCGCAGUUGGUAGCGCGCAACCUUGCCAAGGUUGAGGUCGCGGGUUCGAACCCCGUAGCCCGCUCCA